UGGGGAAUUUUGGACAAUGGGGGAAACCCUGAUCCAGCCAUCCCGCGUGUGCGAUGAAGGCCUUCGGGUUGUAAAGCACUUUUGGCAGGAAAGAAACGUCAUGGGUUAAUACCCCGUGAAACUGACGGUACCUGCAGAAUAAGCACCGGCUAACUACGUGCCAGCAGCCGCGGUAAUACGUAGGGUGCAAGCGUUAAUCGGAAUUACUGGGCGUAAAGCGUGCGCAGGCGGUUCGGAAAGAAAGGUGUGAAAUCCCAGAGCUCAACUUUGGAACUGCAUUUUUAACUACCGGGCUAGAGUGUGUCAGAGGGAGGUGAAAUUCCGCGUGUAGCAGUGAAAUGCGUAGAUAUGCGGAGGAACACCGAUGGCGAAGGCAGCCUCCUGAGAUAACACUGACGCUCAUGCACGAAAGCGUGGGGAGCAAACAGG
rnacentral:rRNA from 1 species